UACGGGGGGGGCAAGCGUUGUUCGGAAUUACUGGGUGUAAAGGGUUCGUAGGCGGUGCGGCAAGUUGGGAGUGAAAUCUCUGGGCUUAACCCAGAGGCUGCUUCCAAAACUGCUGUGCUUGAGUGUGGGAGAGGCGCGUGGAAUUGCAGGUGUAGCGGUGAAAUGCGUAGAUAUCUGCAGGAACACCCGUGGCGAAAGCGGCGCGCUGGACCACUACUGACGCUGAGGAACGAAAGCUAGGGGAGCAAACAGG
rnacentral:rRNA from 1 species